rnacentral:lncRNA from 1 species
AUGAUGUGCUUCUGGGGUUUGAAGAAGGUAGAGUCUCUGGCUCGUAGUAAGAACUCAACAAGUGGUAGCCCUUAUUUACAAGGAUUGAGGAAGAAGAGUCUUUUGAAGUUUACUCUGUCACAUUGCCAGAAAUUGCCUCCACUGCCUUUACAGAAGCAGAAAGAAUCAGAAAACAGCGCUGACUCAUUGAUCCAUCAGGAGGCCAGAGUGUGUGUUUUGUUCCCAUCACUCUCUAGAACGUGACCUUGCCUUUGUCAAAAAACAACUGGCUGCAGGAUUCAUCUAGUUUACCAGAUAUAGGGGGUAUGUGCCCUCAUUACCUUCAAAAGAGACAACAUCUAUAAGCAUGUGAUCAAAACAUAAAAAGCUCCAUUGAAGUAUGGCAUGUUCUUUAUUCAUUUAUUCAAUAAACAUUUAUUUGUCUUCUGUAUGGAAAUUCUU